rnacentral:lncRNA from 1 species
UAGUUAAAACCCUAUUGAAUUUCACUCAACUUUAGACCAAACCUAAUUAAAUCUUAAACCCUAAUAAUUCCUAAAUCCUAAGUCAAAUCCUAAACAAAUCUUAAAUUAAACCCUAUUCCAAAUCCUAAACUUUAAACCAAACCCUAAAUCAAACCCUAAACCAAACCCUAAUCCAACCCUAAAUCCUAAACCAAACCUUAAAUCAAAUCCUAACCAAACCCUAAUCCAAAUCCUAACCAAACCCUAAUCCAAAUCCUAAAUCAAAUCCUAACCAAAUCCUAAAUCCUAAUCCAAAUCCUAAUCCAAACCCUAAUCCAAUCCUAAAUUCUAAUCCAAAUCCUAAACCCUAAACCAAACCUUAAAUCAAACCCUAACCAAACCCUAGUCCAAACUCUAAUUCAAACGUUAAAUCAAACCCUAACCAAACCCUAAAUCCUAAUCCAAAUCCUAAUCCAAAUCCUAAAUCAAAUCCUAACCAAAUCCU